rnacentral:misc_RNA from 1 species
UCCGGUUUGUCACCGGCAGUCUCCCUAGAGUGCCCUUGCGUAGCAACUAGGGACAAGGGUUGCGCUCGUUGCGGGACUUAACCCAACAUCUCACGACACGAGCUGACGACAGCCAUGCAGCACCUGUGUGCAGGUUCCCUUUCGGGCACCCCCAUAUCUCUACAGGGUUCCUGCCAUGUCAAGGGUAGGUAAGGUUUUUCGCGUUGCAUCGAAUUAAUCCACAUCAUCCACCGCUUGUGCGGGUCCCCGUCAAUUCCUUUGAGUUUUAAUCUUGCGACCGUACUCCCCAGGCGGUCAACUUCACGCGUUAGCUGCGGUACCAAGGAAUUGCUCCCCCAACACCUAGUUGACAUCGUUUAGGGCGUGGACUAC